GAAAAGCAAACUCACUCUGUCCCAAAGCUUUUCCGUGUUUUGAGGCAAUUUCUUCGUUUGCGAGAUGGAUUUAACCCGAACAUCUCGUCCGCGAGGGAGGUGCUCCUGUGAUCUCGUGGAGUUGUUUUGGAGACA
rnacentral:sRNA from 1 species